rnacentral:lncRNA from 1 species
CAGAGAUUUGCCUCCCAAGCACUGUUAUUAAAGGUUUGUGCCAUCAUAUCCAGUACUUUUUAAAUUAUGCUCAUCUCUCUGCUGGGAAUUGAACUCAGGACUUCUGGAAGAGCAGUCAGUGCUCUUAACCGCUGAGCCAUCUCUCCAGCCCAGUCUCAAUAUUUUUAUGUGUCAUCAGGCCAAUCUCUAGCCAGAUGGCCCAGGCCUAUUCUUGUGGCAUUUAUUUUUUAUACUUAUUUAUUUAUUUAUUUUGGUUUUUCGAGACAGGGUUUCUCUGUGUAACCCUGGCUGUCCUGGAACUCACUCUGUAGACCAGGUUGACCUCGAACUCAGAAAUUCGCCGGCCUCAUUUUAAGACAGGUUCUUCUUACUAAUGGUGAUCUCCUGACUCAUCCUCUUGAAUGCUGGGGUAACAGGAAUGUGCACCAUGCUCAUCCCACUUCUGCUAUUUAGAAAUGAUCAUAAGAGGCGGUCUAGUGGCUCAGAGUGUUUGUUCCUCUUCCAGAGGACCCAGGUUUGGUUCCCAGCACCGAAAGGUGGCUAACAACUACCUGUAGCUCCAGUUGCAGAGAAUCUGAUGCCCUCUUCUGGCCUCUGAGUGCACUUCACAUAGUACAGAAACAUACAUGCAGGUGACACACACACACACACACACCAUAAAUAUUUUUUAAAUGAUCAUAAGCCAGGUGUAGUGGUGUGUGACUUUAAUCCUAGUACUUGGUAAGUAGAGGCAGGUGGAUCUCAGGAAAUUGGAGUCCAGUCUGGUCUACAUUGUGAAAACAGUGAAUCCCAUAGCCCCCAAGGCUAUGUAGAGAGACCCUUUCUCAAUACAUACAUACAUACAUACGUACGCACAUACAUACAUCGAUUAUAAAAGAUAAGUAUAGUGGUCUAUCAAUAGGGCAGGGACUGGUACAUCUGUCUAGUUUAGCAUUAAAUCUUGAGUGCUUGGUAUACAGUGGGUGUUUGGUAAAUGCUGGAUAACUAAAGACCAAUGUGGGUCUUUAUGGAUGGAUGAGUAACAGUGGAUGCAUGAGCAACUCAGUUUGUGCCUGCGUCUGAUCUGAUUAUAUUCCUUUGGCCUUCUUUUAAGAAGGCUGUGGUGGGGGAGUUGGGCUUGACUGAAUCUCUGGUCCUGUGGUUUUUUGCCCCAAUGAGCCGGGCUGCCUGGAAUGUCCAAAUCACCAGAAAUAGGAGCCAACGUCGGAUUCUCAGUCCUUGUGCCUAGUGGGUUGGCUGAGACUUGGACAUGAGGGCUUCAAAUUUGUGCUUUCUGUU